GACGAACGCUGGCGGCGUGCUUAACACAUGCAAGUCGAACGGGCCUUGUCCCCUUUUUUUUGGGGGUGGGGUUAGUGGCGAACGGGUGAGUAACACGUGAGUAACCUGCCCCUCACUUCUGGAUAACCGCUUGAAAGGGUGGCUAAUACGGGGUGUUCUGGCCUGCUCGCAUGGGUGGGUUUGGAAAGAUUCGACCGGUUUUGGUUGGUUUGGUGGGGGAUGGGCUCGCGGCCUAUCAGCUUGUUGGUGGGGUGAUGGCCUGCCAAGGCUUUGACGGGUAGCCGGCCUGAGAGGGUGGGCGGUCACACUGGGACUAAGACACGGCCCAGACUCCUACGGGAGGCAGCAGUGGGGAAUAUUGCACGAUGGGCGCAAGCCUGAUGCAGCGACGCCGCGUGAGGGAUGGAGGCCUUCGGGUUGUGAACCUCUUUCGCCAGUGAAGAAGGUCCUGCUCUUUGUGGUGGGGUUGACGGUAGCUGGGUUAAUGAAGCGCCGGCUAACUACGUG
rnacentral:rRNA from 1 species